UCGUCACACUAUCAUUAACUGAAUCCAUAGGUUAAUGAGGCGAACCGGGGGAACUGAAACAUCUAAGUACCCCGAGGAAAAGAAAUCAACCGAGAUUCCCCCAGUAGCGGCGAGCGAACGGGGAGGAGCCCAGAGCCUGAAUCAGCAUGUGUGUUAGUGGAAGCGUCUGGAAAGGUGCGCGAUACAGGGUGACAGCCCCGUACACAAAAGCGCAUGUGCUGUGAGCUCGAUGAGUAGGGCGGGACACGUGGUAUCCUGUCUGAAUAUGGGGGGACCAUCCUCCAAGGCUAAAUACUCCUGACUGACCGAUAGUGAACCAGUACCGUGAGGGAAAGGCGAAAAGAACCCCGG
rnacentral:rRNA from 2 species